GAAUACCACCAUGUCUAAUAUCACAAGUUUUGUGGUAAUGAGCUAUUCCAAGUGUAAUGGGUCCGGGUGCCUGCUGGCCUGUGGAAGCCUGUAACACAUGAGUCUUGCUGUCAAGCCUGAAAGUCACUGAAUGAGUUGUUUGAAUGACAAAUGUCCCCGGAAGGCUCGGGCCUUUGAACCUGGAACUUCAUUGGUGAUGCCCUAGUGGAGUCCUUGCGGGGCAGAAGAUACGCUCUAAUACCCUAGGUGUGGUGGUAAAUGCCUGCAGUCUCGGUUCUUUAGGAGACCGACACUAGAGGAGGUGAAUAUGCGGCCAACCUGGGUUGUACAUGCACUCCUGAGCCCCAUUUCAAAGGAAACAAACAAACAACCAGC
ensembl:lncRNA